GGGUCUUCUGACUAGAGCUGCCUGAAAUGCUCUUGGGUGCCUCUGGUAGUCCCUUCAGGAAUCCCCAAGGAUGCUGAGGGUGCAAGUGUACAAGGACAGAGCAAUCUGUGCUUGGGGAAAUGCUGGUGUGCUUCAGAAAUGGGAAGAUGCUCGACUUUGAAGAGAGGGAGUUUCCUACAUCCUAGCCGACUGCUCCUCGUAUGCCUUCAAGGGAACAGAAUUCUGAAGCUUGCAACACAAACUGGAAAGACAGUUGCAGUUUUAGACAAUGAACAACAGUGGAGAGGACUGUAUUCACAGAACGAGUCAGGAGGGGCAGUUUUGCCACCAGAGAAGAAUUCCUCUUCACCAGCUGUGAUAUCAUUUAACAAUGACAGCUCUCCAGUUUGCACCAAGAAAUAGUGCUAAAAGAAAAAUGAGGGGCAAACAUUUUUGGAUGAAGUUACUGGAAGUUCCUCCGCAGUAUGCUGCUCCUGCUUCCGCAGAUAUCAAUAUCUAGCUUCAAAAAGAGGAUUUAUAUGCAGGCCGAGGGACUGACCUCCAGUGGAGGUAUGAAAUGGAAAGUUUGAGGUUCUGUCCCAGGAACCAUGCAGUUGAGAUCCCAUCAUUACCAUGUAGACUUUCUCAAGGAGUGGGGGCACACAGAUCUCCUCAGGGAAUGUCUUGACCAAAAAGUGGCUCUCUCUUUGCAUUCCUUCUGGCCCCAGGAAUGCUGCAUUCCUCACCAUGCAGCAGCCCAGUUUCAGGGGUGGUGAUGUGUGGGUGGGAGUGCUUGUCCCUUGAGAUAGCAAACUGCCUGGGACAGGCUCAGGGCAGGACUGAUAUGGGAGUUUUCUGCUGAAAUCUAGGUCCUUUUCCUCUGAGGCACUAAUGCAAUGAACACU